GACGAACGCUGGCGGCGUGCUUAACACAUGCAAGUCGAACGGUAAGGCCCUGAGCUUGUUCUGUGCUCGAGUGUCGAACAGGUGUGUAUCACGUGUAUAACCUCUGCUUUACUUUGGGGUAACUUCAGUGAACUCGGUCUCUUACACGGUAUGAGCUUGUGCUGCAUGUUUGGGGUUGGAAAGAUUCGGCGGUUGGGGAUGGACGCGCGGAGUAUCAGCGUGUUGGUGAGGUAGUGGAUUACCAAGGCAUUGAGGGGUGGCCGGCCUGAGAGGGUGACCGGCCACAGUGGGACUGAGAUACGGGCAAGACUGCUACGGGAGGAAGCAGUGGAGAAUAGUGCACAAUGGGCCGAAUCAGGAUGCAGCAACGCCGCGUGGGAGAUGACGGCCUUCGGGUUGUAACCCGCGUUAGCCUGGGAAGAAGAGAGAGUGACGGUAAUGGGUAAAGAAGCACCGGCUAACUACGUG
rnacentral:rRNA from 1 species